rnacentral:lncRNA from 1 species
GAAAAGCAUUAAAUACCUAAAAUGCACUUUGUUUUCUUCCAUAUUCAAAGGUGUAUAAAACUGACAAAAGUUAACGAAUCGCAAUCAAAUUUUUUCCAAAUAUGGCUGAAGUACUGUCUUUUAUGAUAUCUACGCAGUUAGUUUUUUCAAUCAUUCUGAUAGAUUCAGACCUGUCAUUACGCCACCUAUCAAAAAUCGGCACAAACUUUCCGAACAACCCAAUAAUAACCUCAAAAACGUAUGCCAUUCCAAAUAUGAUACAUAUCAGGGAAUAUCCAAAAUUUACAUCAUGCUGUUUGGAGGAACAUGUAGUAGAUUUGUGACGAUAAAUGAUGUAGUGAGAGGGACUCAUGCUAAAUGUGACAUUAUACUAUAAAAAUGGUUAAAGAAUUUUGUCUUUCUGAC